UACUAUCAAAUAAAGAUGUCGGAUACGG
rnacentral:sRNA from 1 species